rnacentral:tRNA from 1 species
GCGGGGUAGCUCAGCUGGUUAGAGCGGCGGUCUCAUAAUCCGCAGGUCAUGGGUUCGAGUCCCGUCCCCG